rnacentral:rRNA from 1 species
GGCAGGCCUAACACAUGCAAGUCGAACGGUAGCACAGAGGAGCUUGCUCCUUGGGUGACGAGUGGCGGACGGGUGAGUAAUGUCUGGGAAACUGCCCGAUGGAGGGGGAUAACUACUGGAAACGGUAGCUAAUACCGCAUAACGUCGCAAGACCAAAGAGGGGGACCUUCGGGCCUCUUGCCAUCGGAUGUGCCCAGAUGGGAUUAGCUAGUAGGUGGGGUAACGGCUCACCUAGGCGACGAUCCCUAGCUGGUCUGAGAGGAUGACCAGCCACACUGGAACUGAGACACGGUCCAGACUCCUACGGGAGGCAGCAGUGGGGAAUAUUGCACAAUGGGCGCAAGCCUGAUGCAGCCAUGCCGCGUGUAUGAAGAAGGCCUUCGGGUUGUAAAGUACUUUCAGCGAGGAGGAAGGCGUUGUGGUUAAUAACCGCAACGAUUGACGUUACUCGCAGAAGAGGCACCGGCUAACUCCGUGCCAGCCGCC